AAAAAAUGAGCGAUCUGUGGUCACACUUCGGCCGCUGCGUGUGGCGUCAUUACGCGAGGGCUACGUGCCUGGAGCCAGCGUGUGAUUGGUGGAUUCCGGAGGCGGGAACUCAGUGUGCUGGGUGACGUCGAAUGACGCGGGUUGCGCAAUGCCUUUCUGUGGUUACUGGCCUGCGCCCCGUGUGGCGUUGUAUUAUAUUCCAUCGGUUCCUGAAAGAUCAGAGGAUUUAUUGCCAGUGGAGGAGAUGCUGGAAUACCCCGGACGAUGCUCCCAAAUGAUAGGGUUAUAAUUGUUGCUGUUUAUAACUGAGGCAUAUACUUGUUGUACAACUGUGACAUACUGUAUAAAGAAGGGUCUAUGGGAAGAAAAUGUACUUCCAGCUGGUGCAAUAAUAGCAGCGUUAAGGUAAAU